GACGAACGCUGGCGGCGUGCCUAAUACAUGCAAGUAGAACGCUGAAGGAGGAGCUUGCUUCUCUGGAUGAGUUGCGAACGGGUGAGUAACGCGUAGGUAACCUGCCUGGUAGCGGGGGAUAACUAUUGGAAACGAUAGCUAAUACCGCAUAAGAGUAGAUGUUGCAUGACAUUUGCUUAAAAGGUGCAAUUGCAUCACUACCAGAUGGACCUGCGUUGUAUUAGCUAGUUGGUGGGGUAACGGCUCACCAAGGCGACGAUACAGAGCCGACCUGAGAGGGGGAGCGGCCACACUGGGACGGAGACACGGCCCAGACUCCUACGGGAGGCAGCAGUAGGGAAUCUUCGGCAAUGGACGGAAGUCUGACCGAGAAACGCCGCGUGAGUGAAGAAGGUUGUCGGAUCGUAAAGCUCUGUUGUAAGAGAAGAACGAGUGUGAGAGUGGAAAGUUCACACUGUGACGGUAUCUUACCAGAAAGGGACGGCUAACUACGUG
rnacentral:rRNA from 1 species